AAAAAAAAGUAGAUCGUCAUGCCGUGAUGAACAAUCUAAUGAUUCUUCGUCCUCAUCUCCUAAAAUAAAGAAAAUAUUGACCUCUAAAUGUAGCCCAGCAAAACAAAACCAAAUGAUAAAGAAUUCCAGUAUAUCACAUGAAAACUCCAGAAAAAAUUUAAGCGAAGAUGAAAUAAA